AGGAGCUAAGGUGCAGAAAGUGAGACCAGGAGGAAACUGAUCUGCCAUAUUUGUCUUCUGCGGACUGAAUGAAAUGCUGGAAACCAGUCCCUGUGUUGGCCUGUAUGGCCUGACCUCAUCCGUUAUGUUUGCAGCUGAAAAAAAGUCUGUCCACUGCAGUGCCCAGUCCUAUCACACAACCACAUCAAACUUUAAAGCGCGCGCACACACACACACACACACACACACACACACACACUCACACUCACACUCACACACACAGAGAGAGAGAGGCGCUGACUCAGAUGGAUGUGUG